GCCCGCCUAGCUCAAUCGGAUAGAGCGUCAGACUCUUACAAGUGGGCAGGGCAUCUGAAGGCUGCGAGUUCGACCCUCGCGGUGGGCU